rnacentral:rRNA from 1 species
ACAGGGAUUGCCCUAGUAACGGCGAGUGAAGCGGCAACAGCUCAAAUUUGAAAUCUGGCGUCUUCGGCGUCCGAGUUGUAAUUUGCAGAGGGCGCUUUGGCAUUGGCAGCGGUCCAAGUUCCUUGGAACAGGACGUCACAGAGGGUGAGAAUCCCGUACGUGGUCGCUAGCCUUUACCGUGUAAAGCCCCUUCGACGAGUCGAGUUGUUUGGGAAUGCAGCUCUAAAUGGGAGGUAAAUUUCUUCUAAAGCUAAAUACUGGCCAGAGACCGAUAGCGCACAAGUAGAGUGAUCGAAAGAUGAAAAGCACUUUGGAAAGAGAGUUAAAAAGCACGUGAAAUUGUUGAAAGGGAAGCGCUUGCAGCCAGACUUGCCUGUAGUUGCUCAUCCGGGUUUCUACCCGGUGCACUCUUCUAUAGGCAGGCCAGCAUCAGUUUGGGCGGUUGGAUAAAGGUCUCUGUCAUGUACCUCCUUUCGGGGAGAACUUAUAGGGGAGACGACAUGCAACCAGCCCGGACUGAGGUCCGCGCAUCUGCUAGGAUGCUGGCGUAAUGGCUGUAAGCGGCCCGUCUUGAAACACGGACCAAGGAGUCUAACAUCUAUGCGAGUGUUUGGGUGUCAAGCCCGAACGCGUAAUGAAAGUGAACGGAGGUGGGAACCUUUCGGGGUGCACCAUCGACCGAUCCUGAUGUCUUCGGAUGGAUUUGAGUAAGAGCAUAGCUGUUGGGACCCGAAAGAUGGUGAACUAUGCUUGAAUAGGGUGAAGCCAGAGGAAACUCUGGUGGAGGCUCGCAGCGGUUCUGACGUGCAAAUCGAUCGUCAAAUUUGGGCAUAGGGGCGAAAGACUAAUCGAACUAUCUAGUAGCUGGUUCCUGCCGAAGUUUCCCUCAGGAUAGCAGUAACGUUUUCAGUUUUAUGAGGUAAAGCGAAUGAUUAGAGGCCUGGGGGUUGAAACAACCUU